AUCUUUAAAAAAAAAAAAAAAAUUAAGAAUAAUGAUUUUGAUUUAAAAGUAUACAAAAAGUGAAAAAAAAAUGGAUAACAAAAAAGUAAAAAAAGUAAAAAAAAAUAUGUAUUUCACUUCUGAAUUUUAUGGUUUAAAACUAAAUAUCAAAGUUUUUUUACCAAAUAAUUUCAAUUAUUUUUGUUGAAUCUAAGUGUUAAAUUUACAAUACGAUGAAAAACAAACCGGACCUAGCAUGCAGUCCCUUUGUGGUCCGUCAGUUUGGUGUAAAAGUUCAACAUGUUUUUACGUAUUGUAAAUUUGACACUUAGAAGCUUCAAAGUUUUUUUAUAAAUAUUAUUUUAAAUAAAUUAUUUGGAUUUUUAACUAAAAGUUAUCAUUAUUCAGUAUAUAAAUAUUUAAAAAACUUGAAAUCUAAGUAAAUUUGACACUUAGAAGCUUCAAAGUUUUUUUUUAUAAAUAUUAUUUUAAAUAAAUUAUUUGGAUUUUUAACUAAAAGUUAUCAUUAUAUAUAAAUAUUUUAAAAACUUUAAAUCUAAAUACAUUGAAAUUAAACUAAACUUAACAUCCAACUUAUUAAACUGAAUUUUUUAUGAAGCAACAAUUGGAAUCUUCAUUAACCGAUCUAAAAGCAUAUUAUAAGGUUGAUUUGUAGUUUGGGAGAAAAAUAUAUAAAGCAUAUUAUAAGGUUGAUUUGUAGUUUGAGAGAAAAAUAUAUAUACAGUUAGAGAGAAAAAAACGAUAUUUAGUCAGCAUGAGAAAAAAUAAUUUUUCUUUUUCCAAAUGAUCCAUUUAUUUGUCUUGAACUUUAACUCUUACAAAAUUAUUGACUGUAAGAAAAAGGGUAAUAUUUUGUUACCGUUGCUAUGAAGAAGAAAAAGGAAAUAACAGAAACGAAAUUUCCAUUAUUAAUCUGACCGUUAUGAGAGAUUAAUAUACAAUUUCCUUUUCUUUAAUUUAAUUUGUUUCUUUAUAUAACAUCUCUCUCUCUUUCUCAAGUCUUAAACUCAACGCUUCUUUACUUCAUUCGAGAUAAACCCUAAUGAUGCAGUAGUUUGGUUCUCUUCUCUUCUCUUCUCGAAUGUUCUUAUACAUACAUAAUCUCUGUAAAUUCCGAUGAUGAUGAUCCGUCCAAGUAGAAUCUGAGGCGAUGAUGAUGAUCGGUAAGGGUAAGAUUGGAAUCGCAAAGUAAGUAUUUUUAUAUCAUCGUUUUAUUUAAUUGACUGAAUGAUUUAUCAGAUCGAUCUCCAUCGUUCCUCUGUUCUUCUUCUUCUUCUUCUUCUUCUUCUUCUUCAGCCACGGAGACGCUUUCACCGAGAGACUCGAGCGAGGUAUUUUUAAAAGCCCUCUUAUAUAUAUAUUUCGUUUCAUUGAUUGAAUGAUACAUCAAUCUCCAUUGAUCCUCAUCUUCUUGUAUAUAUUUCGUUUCACCAGGUAUUGAAUCUAGCGACGGAGACGUACGCUUACACGAGAGACUACGGAGAAAUUCAAAAGUACGUGAAGAGACGAAUCGUGUUCGUAGGUUCGUAAUAGUCCUCUGUUUUUUUUUUUGAUUUGGAUUUGAAUUUUAUUAUGAAUAAUUUAAUUAGAGAUCACAUGAUGUUUAGUGUCUAGAGAAUGAAUAGCUAAUUGUAAAUUUUGCGUAUUUGUACAAAUCCCAGAUGUUGUGGAUGCACACAGGACAGCCUCGUAGAGUUGUAGUCAUGUCUGAGUCUCGUCGUGUUGUUGAAGAACUAUUGGGGGAGAAGUUGGUUCAUUACAGCGUUUCGUUUUGAGGACCACGAAACUGUGCUUAAGUAAAGCAUUGUCUUUCUUUAGCUUCUCUUCUUUAUAAUCUUAUAUGUACUUAAGUGUCUCAUCAUGUGUUACAUUAUAUAUGACCAGGUACUUGACUGAUGGUUUGCUACUGAGAGAAGCAAUGGCGGACCCGCUCCUCAAAAGUGUUGAUACUUUUGAGUCCAUAGUCUUGCGACCCAAGAAUCCUAUUUCAAAGUCAAGUGCUGCUCACUAGAGAAGAGUUUUUACAAGCUUUAUACAGGGAAGAGUUUCAGUAAUGACUUGCAGCCGCAGACCUAUCCUCAAACCUUGCAAACACAGUACUGAUGACCUAGUGAAGCUCUUCGGUUUUUUGGAUACCCUGCUCCAGAAACGUUGCUGCGAGCCUUACAAGUUUUGAAUUACUUGGGAGCACUGGAUGAUGAAGGUAACUUGACAAAGACAUGUGAUAUAUUGAGUGAGUGAGUUCCCCUUGGAUCCACAGAUGGUGAACAUGCUCAUAGUCAGUCUUAAAUUCAACUGCUCAAACGUUUCAGCCAUGCUUUCAGGUACACCCUUACUUUCGUUUUUAUAUAUUCUUGCUAGUUGUGGUGUGGUAUGUAGUUAAGGUUAGGCUUUUAAACUUGCUACAAAUUCCAUUCUGCAACUAGUCUAAUGUGCAGUAGAACUCAUCUUUUUCUGUCUUAUGUAUCACUAUCAUUUAGAAUUAAGUAUUAGAGUUAGGUUUAUCAUCAACAGUCUCUAGUCUGGGUUCUGCAUAUCCUAAGUAAGUGCUGAUGAAUAUAGUAGCUGCAGUUUCUCAGUUAUUCUCUUUCAUGAAGCAAAUGGUAUUAGUCUCAUUGCCUCUAUGCAUCUGCUGAUGCCUCUUCUGUUAUAAAUACCAAUUCUUUCGUUAGUACCGAAUUGCUUUAUUCGACCAAGAGAGGCUCAAAAAGCAGCAGAUGAAGCUAAAGCUAGGUUGGAGAUAAUGGAGAUCACCUCACAUUGUUGAACGUUUACCUUUUAAGCAAAACAGUAUGUGUUAGCCCUUUCUCUUCCUCUUUUGUAUUAUAGCUGCUUUUAACAAUUAAAAUUUACCUUAACUAACUUAAUUUUUCAAUGUAAAUUUCUCACAGAUGAAGAUCCCAAUUGGUGAUGUGAAAACUUCAUCAACAAUAGACCAAUGUAAUCUGCAGACAACGUUACAACAGCUAGUCCGGUUAAUGUCAAGGUUCAACCUGAAAAUGUGCAGCACUGAUUGUAACUACUACAUCAACAUAACGAAGGCCAUGCUUACUUAGAACACAGUGGCCAUUACUUGACAGUCAAAGACAACCACCAAGUAUGUCUAGACUAAUUCAGUUUAUAUUGUUGUUUCCAUUUAAACAUUAUUCUCUUUGUGUUUCAUCUCAUGGUUAAAAUUCUUGGUUUGGCAUACAGGUGGCUCAUUUCCAUCCAUCAAAUUGCUUGGAUCACAAACCUGAGUGGGUAAGUUCUUACAUUUCAUGUUCUUCUUUUCUUUGGUUACUAUCUCAAGGUAUUAAGCAGGGUUCGUACUACUCGUUAUCUUUUAAUUUGGUUUGGAGAAUUAAAAAUUGUGUCAUGUUUACUAAAAGAUGACAUCUCUCAUUCUCAUGGGUUUGUUUUGUAACAAACAGGUAGCUUUCUCGUUUGUGGUUUCAAAUUACACAACGACCACCCACCAAGAGUCUUGUCAGGUAUUAUACUAUAUAUACUAUAUACUUUAAUAUUUUUUUUAAAAAAAAUUAAGAAUAAUGAUUUUGAUUUAAAAAUAUACAAAAAGUAAAAAAAAAGAUGUAUUUCACUUCUGAAUUUUAUAGUAUAUACUGUCUUGUCUUUUUAAAAAAAAAUUAAGAAUAAUGAUUUUGAUUUAAAAGUAUACAAAAAGUAAAAAAAAAAAAAAUGUAUUUUUCACUUCUGAAUUUUAUGGUUUAAAACUAAAUAUCAAAGUUUUUUACCAAAUGAUUCAAAUAUUUUGUUGAAUCUAAGUGUUAAAUUUACAAUACGUUGAAAAACAAACCGGACCUAGCAUCCAGUCCCUUUGUGGUCCGUAAGUUUGGUGUAAAAGUUCAACAUGUUUUUACGUAUUGUAAAUUUGACACUUAGAAGCUUCAAAGUUUUUUAUAAAUAUUAUUUUAAGUAAAUUAUUC
rnacentral:lncRNA from 1 species